rnacentral:rRNA from 1 species
CCUACGGGUGGCAGCAGUGAGGAAUAUUGGUCAAUGGACGAGAGUCUGAACCAGCCAAGUAGCGUGAAGGAGGACUGCCCUAUGGGUUGUAAACUUCUUUUAUAUGGGAAUAAAAGGGUCCACGUGUGGGAUUUUGUAUGUACCAUAAGAAUAAGGAUCGGCUAACUCCGUGCCAGCAGCCGCGGUAAUCCGGAGGAUGCGAGCGUUAUCCGGAUUUAUUGGGUUUAAAGGGAGCGUAGGUGGAUUGUUAAGGCAGUUGUGAAAGUUUGGGGCCCAACCGUAAAAUUGCAGUUGAAACUGGCAGUCUUGAGUACACUAGAGGUAGGCGGAAUUCGUGGUGUAGCGGUGAAAUGCUUAGAUAUCAUGAAGAACUCCGAUUGCGAAGGCAGCUCUCUGGACUGCAACUGACACUGAGGCUCGAAAGUGUGGGUAUCAAACAGGAUUAGAUACCCUUGUAGUC